GGCAAGGUGGCCGAGUUGGUUAAGGCGUCAGGUUAAGGUCUACCUUAGCACAGCAUCCUGAUUCAGAAAUGAGCACGAGUUCGAAUCUCGUCCUUGUCA
rnacentral:tRNA from 1 species